AAUAAAAUGAUAAUUUAGUUCUUAAAAAUUAGCUCCUUGGUGCCACACAAAUAUCAGUUGAAGAAAACAGAAAUAUCCAAUACAGAGAAGAAAAGACUUAGAAAGAGAAUGAUGGUAAUCUCAAAGCAUUAGUAGAUAUGUCGUCGGAAAGAUGGGUUAGACUUUUUCUGUUUGACCCCAGAGGGCUAAAUGAGGAAAGAUGAAUGGAAGUGGCAGAAGCAAAUAUGGGUUCCAUAUAAAGAAAAAAAAUUUUAAACAUUAGCACUCUCCAAAAGUAGAAUCAGUCACUUCAGAGGUGGCAGGUUCUUUUUCACCAGAGGGAUUGAAGUAAGUUCAAAAUGAUCACUUGUCAGAGACUUUGAAGAAGGGAUUCUCAUCUCCAUGUGCACUGGACUCGAUGGCCUCUGGAAUGCCUUCAUUUUCAGCUUCUGUGAAAACAGGACAAAAGAUGAAUUCAUAGCUAUAGAAGACUCAGAAAAGAAAGUUCUUGUCAUCAAAGUCUUUGACACUGUCAAAUGAUUCAAUGUCAGAAACAUAUCGUUUUGUCAGUGAAAAUGACACUAAAAAUGAUGUAUUACCAUCUCCUUUGCAACUAUGUACUACGGACCAUGGAGUCUUUCUAUCUGGCUUACAGCUUAAUGCUCUGUUCCCAAUGCAUAUACCAACAUCACCAGAUCAUUAUGACUGAUGAUCAUUUGCAGAGUAAACAAAAAAUGGUGUCCCAGGAUGCACCACUUCCAGGAUUUCUCCUGCCUUUGGAGCAAGUUGCCACAUUGCAAAUAUGACAACAAAUGAAAUGAUGAUAGCAUCUGCUUAAUCUGGCUUUUGUCCAUGUGUCACAACUGCCAUGUAUUGAGGGUAAUUGAGACUUUUUUUUAUUUGCUUAAGUCUCUUUUGUUCAUUUAAUUUUCCCUGACGUGAUCUUACUUCAAUCAUCUUUGACUGAAACACUGUCAAUUUUUAAUGGAGAUGUAUUUCUUCAUCUUUAAUUUUUAAGAAAAAGGCAUACCAAACAUUUGCUCUGUCAUGGUUAAUUUUGUUGAAAUUAUGUUAAAUACACCAAGACUAUCAAUGCUGUUUGGUCUUAAACCAUAAUUUGUAUUUGAGGUAACAGUCCUUAGUAUACAGUGUAUGGUCAAUAAAUGUUAAUUGAUGAU